ACAGCUAGAGUUUGAUCCUGGCUCAGGAUAAAACGCUGGCGGCGCACAUAAGACAUGCAAGUCGAACGAACUUAACCAUUAGUUUACUAUUGGAGCGGUUAGUGGCGGACUGGUGAGUAACACGUAAGCAAACCUGCCUAUCAGAGGGGAAACAACAGUUAGAAAUGACUGCUAAUACCGCAUAAGCCUUAGCAACGCAUGUUGCAAAAGGAAAAGGAGCAAUCCGCUGAUAGAUGGGCUUGCGUCUGAUUAGCUAGUUGGUGAGGUAACGGCCCACCAAGGCGACGAUCAGUAGCCGAACUGAGAGGUUGGACGGCCACAUUGGGACUGAGAUACGGCCCAGACUCCUACGGGAGGCAGCAGUCGGGAAUAUUGCGCAAUGGAGGAAACUCUGACGCAGUGACGCCGCGUGCAGGAAGAAGGUUUUCGGAUUGUAAACUAUUGUCGUUAGGGAAGAGAAAGGACAGUACCUAAGGAGGAAGCUCCGGCUAACUACGUGCC
rnacentral:rRNA from 2 species